AUGGGGCUGCUUUGAUGGUGAUUUCAAUAGUUCCUGGAACCGAUGCUUAACUCAUUGGGAGCUGGCUCUUAUAUAGCUUUGGCUUUAUAAUAUGGCGCCCACCUUAACUUAAGGGUUUGAGAGGUCUUUCGAUUUUCACCUCUAUAGCGGUCCUAUU
rnacentral:other from 1 species